rnacentral:rRNA from 1 species
UACAGAGGGUGCGAGCGUUAAUCGGAAUUACUGGGCGUAAAGGGCGCGUAGGCGGAUGAUUAAGUUGGAUGUGAAAUCCCUGGGCUUAACCUAGGAACUGCAUACAAUACUGGUCGACUAGAGUGCGGUAGAGGGUAGUGGAAUUUCCGGUGUAGCGGUGAAAUGCGUAGAUAUCGGAAGGAACACCAGUGGCGAAGGCGGCUACCUGGACUGACACUGACGCUGAGGCGCGAAAGCGUGGGGAGCAAACAGG